rnacentral:rRNA from 1 species
AGAGUUUGAUCAUGGCUCAGGACGAACGCUGGCGGCGUGCUUAACACAUGCAAGUCGCGUGCGCAGUCCGUAGCAAUACGGAUGGGCGCACGGCGCACGGGUGCGUAACACGUGGGCAAUCUGCCCUCUGAUGGGGAAUAACCCGCCGAAAGGCGGGCUAAUUCCGCAUAAGAUUCCCGGGACUUCGGUUCUGGGAUUGAAAGCAGUAAUGCGUCGGAGGAGGAGCCCGCGCCCGAUUAGCUAGUUGGUGAGGUAACGGCCCACCAAGGCAAUGAUCGGUAGCUGGUCUGAGAGGAUGAUCAGCCACACUGGAACUGAGACACGGUCCAGACUCCUACGGGAGGCAGCAGUGGGGAAUCUUGCACAAUGGGCGAAAGCCUGAUGCAGCGACGCCGCGUGGGGGAUGAAGCAUUUCGGUGUGUAAACCCCUUUCGACUGGGAAGAAUACCUCGCAAGAGGGGUGACGGUACCAGUAGAAGAAGCCCCGGCUAACUACGUGCCAGCAGCCGCGGUAAGACGUAGGGGGCCAGCGUUGUUCGGAAUUACUGGGUGUAAAGGGUUCGUAGGCGGUGCGGCAAGUUGGGAGUGAAAUCUCUGGGCUUAACCCAGAGGCUGCUUCCAAAACUGCUGUGCUCGAGUGUGGGAGAGGCGCGUGGAAUUGCAGGUGUAGCGGUGAAAUGCGUAGAUAUCUGCAGGAACACCCGUGGCGAAAGCGGCGCGCUGGACCACUACUGACGCUGAGGAACGAAAGCUAGGGGAGCAAACAGGAUUAGAUACCCCAGUAGUCC